GUGUGCAAUAGGCCAUAAGGGAAAGAUCUGCAACUGUUCGGUGUUUAGACCCGCACCUGGUUUUGGCUAAAAAUCACUGAUGGAAAACACUGACGUGUGAAUGAGACAUUACUCUAUAGGGCUGCUGGAGAUAACCAAGUGCUUGUACCAUUUUGUGGACAAGGAUAGGCAUUGUUACAAUGGAUCCUUAAAAAAAAAUGGAUGCAACCAGGACAUCACAUGGACGUCACGUCAUCUGUAUUUUUUGCGGACCACAAAAUGCAUACUGUCGUGUGAAUGCACCCUUAACAAACCCUAAUUCUGUUUACAACUUCUCAAAGCUUGUAUGAUCGUGACAAGAGCGGACACAUCCAUAAUACUGCCGAUUACCUGACAAUGUUGUACAUUGUUUCUGGAUCUCCACUAAGAAAGCCUGAUACGGGAACUGCGGCUUCAUUAACCUGCCUUCUUAACCAUGCACAAGUGCAUCCCCCGCUGCGCAGGUGCUGGAUCAGUUCAGCUUCUGUCCCGAUCCUGCAGACAUGGAAAGGGUGGCUA